UUCACAGAAAAUGGUGGUGCCUGGUAGCCUUCCUGAAAACCAAGGGGUGGAACAUUUUCAGCCAACAACUAGUGCACAACAUUCUGUUUUUGGCGAAGGGGAGGUCCAGAGACAACCUUUCAAAGGGCUCAUUAGGUCUUUGCAGCAGACAGGCUGUAUGCAUGUUCUCGAUCUGUAUUGCCGGGGCUUGACUUCCCGAGAAGGCUCCUUUCAGUAUGAUCCAGAGUUUAUCGAAUUGCAGGUAUGCAUCCUGAUUUGGUUAAGGUUUCUUCUAUUCUCAAACCUGGACAAGGUUGUUGGUUAAUUCAUAUAUAUUUCAUGGGAUAAAGAAACAAUAUGAUAAAUCAGAGAUCUUCAAGGGUUGCUUGGCAUACCAAAUUGUGAAAUUUUGGUUAGAUAGUUUCCCCAAAUUCUGUUUUGACAAUUAACUAAUCGAACUCUAGGCAACUGUCAUACUAUAGUUGUGUGGUGCUUAUGUGAUGAUUCAGUUGAAAAUUGGAUUCUUGCUGGCAGUAUGAGGCUGCAUGGCGUGCAGGAAAAUGGGAUUUUUCUUUACUCUAUCCACAAACGCACUCUCCACCUAUGCAACAUGUCAAGAACAAUAAUUAUCAUGAAAAUCUGCACGGGUAACACAUACUUUACUCUUACCAAUGAUGUUAUUCUUAGCCAUUAGAUUAUUCCCUGUUUGUAGCUCUUGAUUACACCAAAUUUACUUGACAUCUUACCGACACUGACUUUGCGGUGGUCUUAGGCUUUUAUUUAAAAUGAAUGAUGUGUUACAUAUGAGUUUUAAAAUAGAUUAGUUGAAACCACUAUAAUUGUUGGUCUCUAGCUUUACUUUCCUGGACCUUGUCCUAGUAUCAAUGGUCAGUUGAAAUGAAGUCCUUCGUUUUCGAAAAGUCUUAUUCAUUGCCAAUGAGACACUAGCUCCCAUCUUACAUGUGUACUUCUCAGUUGUUUGAGAGCUUUGCAUGAAGGGGAUUGCAAUGGGUUUCAUGGAAAACUGAAGGAUGCUAAGAAGGUAAUGCAUGAUUUCAGUUUAUCACCAUUGGAUUUGAAGGCUACAAGCUUCUGUGUUAAGAAUCUUUGGUUUUGCUCUGUUUCAGGAGCUUGUAUUGUCCAUUUCCCGUGCAAGUGAAGAAAGCACUGAAUUUAUAUACUCAGCAGUAGUGAAACUUCAGGUAUAUAUGUUUAGAUUGACACUAAAGUACAUCAUAUUUUCCAUUACAUUUUCCAUUACAUUUUUCAUCAUUUGGAUGCCAUUCUACUCCUUAUUGCUCAUGUCUUUACUUUGAUAAUGCUACCCUCUCUGUGAAUGCCAAACUUCCUUUUUUGGUUAAGGUCAUCUUGAUUUUGCCUAGCCAAUUACUCAACAUGUGCUGUCAGGUUUGAUCGAUGAAAUCUUAAAUAACUGCAAGUUAUGGUGUUGCGAGUUCCAAAACUUUUAAUAUGUCGUGAUGCUCACCUUUUAAAAAAGUACCUCUGCAUCUCAAGAUUUCGUCAUAAAACAUUAUCCCUUACUAAAGAUUUCAUCUGUUGAGUGAUUCCUAAACUAAACUUGAAUUUUCAAGCCGUGGAAUUUGUUAAUGCAAGCUACAUGUUAUCUUAGAAGGAAAAUAUAUAUAAAUUGCUUAAGAUUUCAGGUCUCUUUGGUAAACAAUGGUUUUGAAUUUCUAUAUGGGAUCGCUUUCGUGAUUUUUGAUAUUUUAUCAUGUCCAGAUUCUUUAUCAUCUUGGACUAGUUUGGGAUCUUCGCUGGACGACAUCUUCACAUGAAAGUAUGCAUGGCUAUCCAGUCAAACAAAUGGCAUGUGCAGACCCUGUGACGCCAACAAUGGAGCAGGUAUUUUCCUUUGAAACAUAUUUUUCAAGUGGUUGUUCACUAGCUUCUAGCAAAUGACUGGCGCUUUAAGAAUUUAUAUUAUUAAUAGCAAGUCGAAAAAGAAAAAAUAUAAGAUCUUUCAUGUACAGUUAGAUUUUAGUUGGGAUAUUCAUGUGUUGAAAAAUUCAUGUGUCGGUGUCCUGAGGAGAUUUUAAAAUAUGAACUACAGUUUUCUUGGCUGAAUAAGGAUUGGAUCUCUAUUACUACACAAACUCAGUUCCACAUGAAUUUGUUGGAGCCAUUAGUCGCAUUUAGGCGAGUCCUCCUCCAAAUCUUGGGAUGUGAGCAAUGUACCAUGCAGCAUCUUUUGCAGUCUGCUUCCUUACUUCGCAAGGUAUGUAUGAAAAGCUACCACUUCACUUGUAGUAAGAUGCCUGCAAGAAACACAUUAUCUUGUUGUUUUCAGGGAUCAAAGUUUUCUCAUGCAGCUGCGUCUCUGCAUGAGUUCAAGUUCCUUUGUGCAAAAAGUGAUGGAGGACAAUCUGUUCCAGAUUGGCUUGGAAGGGUACAUUUUAACUUUCCAUGUUUUGUUUAAUUGUACAUAUUUCUUUCUACGUAGUUUUUUUCCUUACUGAGACUUAUGAAAGUGAGCAAGACUUACAAUUGGAAAAAUUAUGAUUGUCAUCUAAUAGUUGUUACUUAAGUAAAAUAACUUUAUUGAACGAAGGCACACAAUACUUCCUUCCCCAUCUAUUAGUUACUUUUGUCUUAGAUAUGUAGUAUAUCUAGUGAUACACUAGAGAUAUGCUUUACAGUAACUUUUGUGCUGUUUCAGAUUGAAGAGGCGAAAAUAUUACAUGCCCAAGGGCGGCAUGAAGUUGCCAUCAGUCUGGCGAACUACAUCUUACAAAAUUAUCAAUUAAAAGAAGAGGCUUCAGAUAUAUACCGUGUGAUUGGGAAGUGGCUAGCAGAAACCAGAUCUAGCAAGUAAAUAAAUUGUUACACUUUUAUUUUGGUUGAAAGUAGUUUACAUAAAUGGUCGAUAUGAACUUUUUUCUGAAAUCUCAACUCGGUCCCUUUUUUGUUUCUCUUGGAUACAGCUCUAGAACAAUUUUAGACAAGUACCUCAAGCCUGCAGUUUCGCUUGCCAAAAACCCGAGUUCCGAGAUCAGCAAAAGAUUGGUAGAUAGACAAAGCCAGACUUGGUUUCAUCUGGCCCAUUAUGCAGAUGCUCUGUUUAAAAGUUAUGAGGAGAGACUCUCUUCCAGUGAAUGGCAAGCUGCAAUGCGGCUACGAAAACACAAGGUCUCCACCAUUUGCUAUUACAUUUCUUUUUCUCUGUAGUUCUUUUUUGUAAAAAAAUGUCUGUUUUUCCCUCAUUAGUGGGCACAGAUAAAUGAAUAAUUCAUCUCUUCGCUGAGUUCAUCUACAGUUUCAACUCCAAAGGUCGUUUUUCUUCUGUUGUGGAGGAAACUAACUAGCGUACUUAUUUUUUCAGACGAAAGAGUUGGAGGUGCUUAUUAAACGGUAUAAGAGUUCAAAGAAGGCAAGUAGUUGUCUACCUCCGUUUGUUUGAUCUCUGAACAUCUCUUUGCAUAGAACGGUAUGAUUGCCGGUCUAGAAAAGUCUCUCAUUUUAUUCCAUAUUUGGUAUUUUACCGUACUAGGGGGAACAAUCUGACUAUUCACUGAAGAUUCAAGAGCUGCAGAAGCAAUUAACAAUGGACAAAGAAGAGGCAGAAAAGCUGCAGGUGCGCUUUAUUCCGCCGUACAAUCUGGCUGCUACGGAAAAAUAGUCAUGAUUUUUUCUAGAUGGAUGAUAUUUACCGAUACAUAAUCUUUCCCUUUCUCCUCAAUUGCAUAGGUUGACAGGGAUAACUUUCUGAAACUUGCGUUGGAGGGGUAUCAACGUUGCCUGCAAAUUGGUGACAAAUAUGAUGUCCGAGUGGUAAGUUAUCUAAGUAUUACAGUGAGGCUUUCAUAUAAUGCAAGGUUUUGAUCGAUGAAAUCUUAAAUAACUGCAAGUUAUGGUGUUGCGAGUUCCAAAACUUUUAAUAUGUCGUGAUGCUCACCUUUUAAAAAAGUACCUCUGCAUCUCAAGAUUUCCUCAUAAAACAUUAUCCCUUACUAAAGAUUUCAUCUGUUGAGUGAUUCCUAAACUAAACUUGAAUUUUCAAGCCGUGGAAUUUGUUAAUGCAAGCUACAUGUUAUCUUAGAAGGAAAAUAUAUAUAAAUUGCUUAAGAUUUCAGGUCUUCUCAAACCCUUCGGGUCAGUUUUCUAACACUCUUACCUAUCCAAACUUGACCUUCAGUGGGCUCAUAGUUUUUCGAUUCUUCCCUGUACAGAAUUGAUUGUGCCUCUGAAUACCGUAAUGUUUGACUCUGACCUAAUUUGGUGUGAUUUUUCUCGAUUUUACAGUAUCUUUUUAUUGAUAAUUUAGUAAUCUACUAUAAUGCACAGGAAAGUCAUGAAUUUUUCUGUCUGAUGUGCCAUUAUAUUUUUGUCAAAUACGUGUUAACACCUUCCCAGUAGAGGCGUUGUACAUAUUUCCAAAGAUUUAUUCUGUACUAUCUUGCCUCCUGUCUCAAAAGGCCAUGUUUUAGAAAUUUCAUUCACCUUAUAUAGAUAAAUUUUUCUGCUUGCUUUAGGGAAUUCUUUCCACUGAAAGGGGGCAGCAAGCAUUAUCUUCUAUCGAUUCGUGUGAGAGAUCUUUGAUUGAGGCAAGUUUCUCCUCCGCAUUAGCUUUCUGGUCAUUUCAUCGGUUGAUAUUUUCUCAGAUAAUUCAUAAAGUGGAAAAUUGUUCCCAUGGGGAAGAUAAAACACUUCAUUGUAAAAGAAAAAGUAUUCAAGAUCUGGUAAAUUUGAUUUUAAGAGUCACACUUUGACAUUUAUGGACAUAUAAAUGAUCAGUCAAUCCAUUGAAAAACUUAAUGAUAGAUUCCUUUUUCUUGUUAGAGUUAUUUAAGUAAAAGCCUGCCCUAUCUGCUCAAAUGUGUACUCUUUUUUUGUAGGUACAUGGCAGGGGUGUUAACCUUGACACUGUUGAAAAGAUCUUACUGGAUAGCGAAAAGCAGUACAAAGGUAGUUUAACUAUAUCAUGAAUCUUGAUAUUUCUGAAAAGUUCUUAGAAGAAAUUACCUCCAUUUAGUUUUCUCAUGAUAUAUGUCCAUAGUCCCACGCAAAAAAAAAAAAAAUCUGUAUGUUUUCUAUGAACUGUUCCUCCUGCUAGAUGCUAUAAUUUGUUUUCACUGUCAAGUUUCAGGGUAAGUGCUUCUCUAGAAAGCUAUUAUUUAUACUGUUAUUACCAUCUAAUUUUUAAUGCAACCUAAAAAACAAAAUGGAGGUCAAUGAUGAAAUCAUAGGCAUAUUAAUUCUUUUUGGCUAUUGCUUGCAAUCAUGCAAAGUUGUUCUAAUCGAUUUUCAGGAUAUAUAUAUGCUUGGAAUAAUUAGUGAAUUCAGUUUACGUUUUUUGGAGAAUCCAAUCCUGUAUUUCAAUUUUCACAUGACAUGGAUAUGUCGGCUCCAAAAUUAUUUCAUUCAUGUUCCUGUUCUUUUUUGUUAAUUACUUAAAAAUGAUUCAUUUUCAGCGCUGUCAGCUGAAAACUUUUCACUGGAGAAGGCUGAGGUGUGGUCCACAGAUAAUAAAAACUUCGAUGGAUGGAUUUGUCAGCUUGUGUACUGUAUGAUCUCGUUAUGUGAGGAUGUCCCAAUAAGGUAUCUGUUUGGUUCCUACCUACCUUAAUUAUCCAGUUACAAUAUUCAAGUAAAAUCUUUCACUCAGUGGAUCAUUGUUGCUGCUUUGUCUGACACAGGUUAUGCCAGAAUAUAGCAAUGCUGAAAGCUGAAAUUUCUGAGCUUUUGUUUCCAAGUGUUAUUGUUAGUCUUGCAGGAAGGGUAGGGACUGAUAUCAAUUUACACGAACUAAUUACCUCACAGGUGUGGCUCCUAUUUUAAUCACUGUUUCAACCAAAUUCACUUCUCUCGUGUACUUUGCCUUCCCCAUUUAGUUUUCUUUUAUUGUACAUCAGAAUAAAACCACUGCAGAGAAUUAUUUGUCACUUUUGUUAAAGCUUGUAAUCCCCAUUGGGCAGGUGAAAGAGCACAUCUUCGUCGAUUCAAACAAGCUAACAAAGUCGAAGCAGGUCAUGUUAAAUACCCUGAAUGAACUGCGGAUGUGUUAUGUCCUUGAAAGAUCAACUUUUUCUGGGCAAACUAAAAGAGAAAAGGUUAGAGUAACUGAAAAAGAUAUGCUAUUCAUGGGGAGUAAAUAAGGACAUUCUGCUAUUUGUAUCCCCUUUAUAGUGAAAUCUGAUAUCAGAUUAGUUUGUUCAUAUAAAAAGAUCAUUACGAAAUAUGCGAGAUUACCAAAAUCAAACGUCUGAAAUUUUCUUGCAGAAUACUAAGCAUUCUAACUACAGUUCUAGAUCUAGCUCCAGCGCUGCUAAGAUUAGAGAUGUGGAAACAGCUAAUGGUAUGGCAGCGUCCAUAACUGCAAAUUGGGACAAGGUGCUCUCUUUAUUAUAUGAACUUUAGUUACUAUAUGUAUUGUUAUGAGGAAGAGCAUUGCUGAUCCAUGCAAUAUUUCAUGUGUCUGGAAUUACCAGAAAUUUCCUUCUCAAAGUGUUUUAUCAUCCUACUAAGAUUACAACUAUAUUUAACCCAAAAAGAAGAAGAUUUAUAACUAUUGGCAGUGGCACAUCUUUCCCGUUGUUGCAUUAUGAUAGCCUUGUUUUAAUUUGUGUUUAUGUCAUACAGAAGAAUUUUUUACUUUCAGAUAAUCGAUUGAGGAUUAAUAAAUUUAUAAAACAAAGCUAUCCCUGUCAGCUGUGUGCUAUCUUUUUUUUUGUGCUAUAUUUUUGAUUAACCCCAUUAGUAUUAACUGUCUCAUAUAGUUUUUCCUGUGAAAUAUGUGUGUAUCCUUCCAUAUGGCGCUGGUUGGCUCAUCAGUAUUCCUCUUGAAGUUAUAAUUUCAAGCAUGUGUUACUGUUUUUUACCUCUUGUUUCGUUUGUUGAUCAGGCAUAUUGGCUUUCCAUUGAUUAUCUUGUUGCUGCCAGAUCAGCAGUAGUGAGUCAUCCUUUUUCUUUCAAAUCAUUAACCAAUUUCUGAAAGUAGAGGCUCUAAAGUUAUUUGCAAUAUAUAUUUCUCUUCGUUCUUUCCAGGUUUGUGGUGCAUAUUUGACCGCCGCCAUGUAUGUUGAGUACUGGUGUGAGGAGAAAUUUGGCAGUCUAAGCCUCGGAGAUCCUGAUUUUUCUUAUCAUGAUAUGGUAAUUCAUGUUAUCCAUUCGGGAUCAUUGAACUUACAAUAUUUUACUCAGGCUCUUCCAUGGUUUUCAUUGUCCUAACUAAAUAGUUAAUAGGCAUUGUCGUUUAUGCUUAAUGUCUAAUUUGUAAUCAUGGAUCAUUGUCAUAUAUGAAACUUUCAUGGGAUGCAUUUUACAAAAUUGCAAAUGAUUUGUUCUUCAUGUAGAAAAGGGGCUUACAAAUAAGAGUUUUCUUGCAAUAUUUCAUGUGGAAAAUAAUUUUGUUUUGUUUGUGCUGCUUUCUAAUGUUUCCUUUCCUUUGUGGCUAACAGUUACCGGAUCACGUUGAGAUACUUGUGUCUGCAAUAACAAGAAUAAAUGAGCCUGACAGCUUGUAUGGGGUUAUACAUUCCAACAAGGUUCGAUUCUGAUACUAAAAGUGCGUCCUAUAGAGUACAUGUCGGAUAAAUGUUUGGAAUUCGUGUCAAAUGGAAACGGUUUGCUAGUCAUGAAAGUGGUUAAAUUAGUUCUUCCGUUACCUAUUGUAAGAAUAUUGUGUGAAGACUGAUAUGAUUCCGCUGCUGAUAUCAGAUGAGUAUACACUAACUAAAAUGAAACGUGAUAGGUUAAGUCUUUUCUUUAUUUAUUUUUACUGCUGAACAAUGAAAAACAUUUCCGUCUAGAACCAAGGAUUUUCAAGAAGAAAUGAAGUAACUAAAUCACAUGCAGUACUUUUUGAUCUUUUUCUGGUUUCAUAUAUGUGAAUAACACUUCCUGUUUCUUGUAUAUGGAUGCAAUCUGAAAGUUGUCUGCUCAAAUAACCACAUUUGAGCAUGAGGGAAACUGGAGUAGAGCACUUGAGUACUAUGACUUGCAAGCACGUUCACAGAAAAUGGUGGUGCCUGGUAGCCUUCCUGAAAACCAAGGGGUGGAACAUUUUCAGCCAACAACUAGUGCACAACAUUCUGUUUUUGGCGAAGGGGAGGUCCAGAGACAACCUUUCAAAGGGCUCAUUAGGUCUUUGCAGCAGACAGGCUGUAUGCAUGUUCUCGAUCUGUAUUGCCGGGGCUUGACUUCCCGAGAAGGCUCCUUUCAGUAUGAUCCAGAGUUUAUCGAAUUGCA
rnacentral:lncRNA from 1 species